UUCUAAGGAUUCUAAGAAUGAUUGUGGUGAUGACAUGUGGCUACAAAAAUAUGUUGUAAUGCUUCUCUUUUAAUAUAUACUAGGUAGUGACCCGCGCCUUGCGCGGGAUGAGAUAGUUAAUUUAACCAUGUUUAAAUUAUAUAUGCGUGAGUUUUUUUUUUUUUUGAUCAAUAUAUGCGUGAGUUUAUAUAUACGAAUUUAUAUGAGACAUAAACAAUACUUAUCGGUUUUGAAUGUAUGAAUAGUUUAUUGUGUGAAAAUAUUAGAAUUUGUCUUGUGGAAUAUUGCAAAGAUAAAAUAAGUUGGCCCAACAUAAGUGGGUUAGGCGUUUUAUGUUUAAUUGUUCUCAGUGGGCUUCGUUUAAUUUCAGUCCCAUUGGUUUGGAUUUAAUGUUUUUUUUGUUUUAAAUAAUUUUGCUCAACUUAAUAGUUAAAAAAAAAAAAGACCAAAGGUGGAAAAAGUUUAUGGCAAGAACGAAAUCGAUCCGCUUCACUUUUUGUCCCGAUUUCGAUUCAGGUCCUAAACAAAGCUAAACAGAUUCAAGUCGUUUGUUGACUUCUUUCUUUUCUCUGAAUUAAAAUCUCCUUCAAACGGGUCUUCGAUUUAAUCAAUUUGGGCAGAUCGUCUUCGCGAACGAACUCCUAUCCCGGAUUUACUCCAACCAAAGGCGAUUCAUUUAAUUGAAGGUGCAAAACCAGAAAUAAACUGUUCAGAUCUUAGAUGCCCAAGGAACUCAUCAAGUGCAUGCGCGGUAGUCUCUUGAAAAGAAGGAGAUUCAUCAAAAUUGUUUUUGGACAUCGGGAAUUCUAUAAUUGAAGGUAAGAGUAGAUUUAAGUAUAAUAUAAGGAUUGUAACACUUGAAAAAAAAAACAGUUGCAGCGUACAGCAAUUGAAGGUUGUAUAACCUUCUAAAACACAUACGUUGUAAUAUAAAAAAAAAUCCAAAACUAAAACCUUAAUAUAAUAAAAUCCAAAACUAAAAUCUUAAUAUAAAAAAACCCAUACUAAAAGCAGACAUAGAAUUCCAUAAGAUAGUAAAUCAAAGUCUUCUGCUCUCUUGCUUUAGACUCAAAGUGCAGUGAAUGGAAUCCUGGAAAACAAAAAUUUAACAUUACCAAUGAAAACUGUUUUUAAACCCUGUAUACAUAAUAUUCACAUUAUAAAAUAAAGGUUUCCUCAAUAAUAUUAAACUUACAUUGAUUUAAAGUAAUGUAUUUCAGGAAUUUGAGGAUCAAAUAAAAUAUCCGAACAGCCUUCAAUGUUUGUAAGACAUCUGAAUCGACCUAUAAAACACAACAACUCAGUUCAGCUAAUAAACUAAAUACUUAUUUUCAUCUAAUUAGUCUAAAUAAACCUUACCAUUACCCCACUCAAUUCUCCAUAGCUUUAGUACACAGACAACAACAUUUGCAGUUGUAGAAGACCAGUAUUCAUAUAACUUCUCAGCAAGAGAUCCAUAAGCAACACACUUAACUUGCGUAAAACUGCAAAGAAUAUAAAGAUUUAAGUUAUCUAAUCUGAAUUGCUGUAAACAGAUAACAUUAAAAUCUAUAGCACACACUCAAUAUUUAAUACGAAGAACCGAAUGUGGGGUUGAUUUCCAUGAUUAAACUGGUUUGCUUGCGCUUUGGGGAAAUCUUGAAUAUCACCUACUUCAACCAAAGCUCCACAUAGGCCUAGAUUGUUAGAAUCAACCCAUAUCAGAAUCAAUAGCUGCAAUUGUGCACAUGACAAUACACUUCUCCACCUAUCAUGACAAACAUCCAAUAGUAUAGUAAGAAGACCAUUUUGUUCAAAACAAAUGAAAACAAAAAAAC